rnacentral:rRNA from 1 species
UACGGAGGGUGCGAGCGUUGUCCGGAAUCAUUGGGCGUAAAGGGCGCGUAGGUGGCCCGGUCAGUUCGUGGUGUAAGCGCGGGGCUCAACCCUGCGUCGGCCAUGAAUACUGCCGCGGCUGGAGCACUGUAGAGGCAGGCGGAAUUCCGGGUGUAGCGGUGGAAUGCGUAGAGAUCCGGAAGAACACCGGUGGCGAAGGCGGCCUGCUGGGCAGUUGCUGACACUGAGGCGCGACAGCGUGGGGAGCAAACAGG